GACGAACGCUGGCGGCGUGCCUAAUACAUGCAAGUAGGACGCAGUUGCGAACGGGUGAGUAAAGCGUAGGUAACUACCUAUUAGAGGGGGAUAACUAUUGGCAACGAUAGCUAAUACCGCAUACUAGUAGAUGGACAUGCGUUGUAUUAGCUAGUAGGUAGGGUAAUGGCCUACCUAGGGAACGAGACAUAGCCGACCGGAGAGGGUGAGAGGCCCCACUGGGACUGAGAGACGGCCCAUACUCCCCCGGGAGGCAGCAGUAGGGAGUCUUCGGCAAUGUGGGGAUACCUGACCGAGAAACGCCGCGUGAGUGAAGAAGGUUUUCGGAUCGUAAAGAUCUGUUGUUAAGGAAGCGGUACUUAACCAGAGAGGGACGGCUAACUACGUGCCAGCAGCCGCGGUAAUUC
rnacentral:rRNA from 1 species